CCGAGUUUACAACUCCCAGACCCCUGUGAACAUACCAAUUGUUGCCUCGGCGGAUCAGCCCGCUCCCGGUAAAACGGGACGGCCCGCCAGAGGACCCCUAAGCUCUGUUUCUAUAUGUAACUUCUGAGUAAAACCAUAAAUAAAUCA
rnacentral:misc_RNA from 1 species